UGGGGAAUAUUGGACAAUGGGCGAAAGCCUGAUCCAGCCAUGCCGCGUGUGUGAAGAAGGUCUUCGGAUUGUAAAGCACUUUAAGUUGGGAGGAAGGGCAGUAAGCGAAUACCUUGCUGUUUUGACGUUACCGACAGAAUAAGCACCGGCUAACUCUGUGCCAGCAGCCGCGGUAAUACAGAGGGUGCAAGCGUUAAUCGGAAUUACUGGGCGUAAAGCGCGCGUAGGUGGUUCGUUAAGUUGAAUGUGAAAGCCCCGGGCACAACCUGGGAACUGCAUCCAAAACUGGCGAGCUAGAGUAGGGCAGAGGGUGGUGGAAUUUCCUGUGUAGCGGUGAAAUGCGUAGAUAUAGGAAGGAACACCAGUGGCGAAGGCGACCACCUGGGCUCAUACUGACACUGAGGUGCGAAAGCGUGGGGAGCAAACAGG
rnacentral:rRNA from 1 species